rnacentral:rRNA from 1 species
UACGAAGGGGGCUAGCGUUGUUCGGAAUUACUGGGCGUAAAGGGCGCGUAGGCGGUACUUCAAGUCAGGCGUGAAAGCCCCGGGCUCAACCUGGAAACCGCGCUUGAGACUGGAGAACUAGAGUUCGGGAGAGGAUGGUGGAAUUCCCAGUGUAGAGGUGAAAUUCGUAGAUAUUGGGAAGAACACCGAUGGCGAAGGCAGCCAUCUGGACCGACACUGACGCUGAGGCG